CCGCACAAGCGGCGGAGCAUGCGGAUUAAUUCGAUGCAACGCGAAGAACCUUACCAAGGCUUGACAUACACCGGUAACGCCCAGAGAUGGGUGCCCCUUUGGUGGUCGGUGGACAGGUGGUGCAUGGCUGUCGUCAGCUCGUGUCGUGAGAUGUUGGGUUAAGUCCCGCAACGAGCGCAACCCUCGUCCUAUGUUGCCAGCGGGUCAUGCCGGGGACUCAUGGGAGACUGCCGGGGUCAACUCGGAGGAAGGUGGGGAUGACGUCAAAUCAUCAUGCCCCUUAUGUCUUGGGCUUCACGCAUGCUACAAUGGCCGGUACAAAGGGCUGCGAUACCGCGAGGUGGAGCGAAUCCCAGAAAGCCGGUCUCAGUUCGGAUUGGGGUCUGCAACUCGACCCCAUGAAGUCGGAGUCGCUAGUAAUCGCAGAUCAGCAACGCUGCGGUGAAUACGUUCCCGGGCCUU
rnacentral:rRNA from 1 species